CCCCUAGAUGUUCUGGGCCGCACGCGCGCUACACUGAACAGUUCAACAAGUCUUAACCUUGGCCGAUAUGUCUGGGUAAUCUUUGAACGCUGUUCGUGAUUGGGAUAGACCUUUGCAAUUAUGGGUCUUCAACGAGGAAUUCCUAGUAAACGCAAGUCAUCAGCUUGCAUUGAUUACGUCCCUGCCCUUUGUACACACCGCCCGUCGCACCUACCGAUUGAAUGGUCCGGUGAAAUCUCGGGACGGCGGCUUGGUCGCUUGCGUCCGACUGCUGAAACUUGAUUAAACCAUAUCAUUUAGAGGAAGGUGAAGUCGUAACA
rnacentral:rRNA from 1 species